CCUACGGGUGGCUGCAGUGGGGGAUAUUGGACAAUGGGGGAAACCCUGAUCCAGCGACGCCGCGUGAGUGAAGAAGUAUUUCGGUAUGUAAAGCUCUGUCAGCAGGGAAGAAAGAAAUGACGGUACCUGACCAAGAAGCCCCGGCUAACUACGUGCCAGCAGCCGCGGUAAUACGUAGGGGGCAAGCGUUAUCCGGAAUUACUGGGUGUAAAGGGAGCGUAGACGGUGAUGCAAGUCUGGAGUGAAAGGCGGGGGCCCAACCCCCGGACUGCUCUGGAAACUGUGUAACGUGAGUGCAGGAGAGGUAAGCGGAAUUCCUGGUGUAGCGGUGACAUGCGUAGAUAUUAGGAGGAACACCAGUGGCGAAGGCGGCUUACUGGACUGUAACUGACGUUGAGGCUCGAAAGCGUGGGGAGCAAACAGGAUUAGAUACCCCUGUAGU
rnacentral:rRNA from 1 species